rnacentral:rRNA from 18 species
GGAUGACUUGUGGCUAGGGGUGAAAGGCCAAUCAAACUCGGAAAUAGCUGGUUCUCCGCGAAAACUAUUGAGGUAGUGCCUCGGAUGUUUUCCUAUGGGGGUAGAGCACUGGAUGGGCUAGGGGGUCGCGAGACCUACCAAACCUAACCAAACUCCGAAUACCAUAGAGACAAGUCCGGGAGACAGACGGCGGGUGCUAAGGUCCGUCGUCAAAAGGGAAACAGCCCUAACCUACAGCUAAGGUCCCCAAGUCAUCACUAAGUGGGAAAGCAUGUGGGAAUCCCAAAACAACCAGGAGGUUGGCUUAGAAGCAGCCAUCCUUUAAAGAAAGCGUAACAGCUCACUGGUCUAAAUAAGGGUUCCUGCGGCGAAGAUGUAACGGGGCUAAAGUGAUGCACCGAAGCUUAGGGUUCAGAAUUUAUUCUGAGCGGUAGCGGAGCGUUCCGUAAGCGGAUGAAGCCGAAGGGUAACCGACGGUGGACGUAUCGGAAGUGCGAAUGCUGACAUGAGUAACGAUAAUGGGAGUGAAAAACUCCCACGCCGGAAGACCAAGGUUUCCUGUCCCAUGCUAAUCAGGGCAGGGUAAGUCGGCCCCUAAGGCGAGGCAGAAAUGCGUAGUCGAUGGGAAACGGGUUAAUAUUCCCGUACUUAUAUAAUCAGUGAUGGAGGGACGGAGAAGGCUAGGCAAGCUUGGCGUUGGUUGUCCAAGUGAAAGUGCGUAGGCUGAAGACUUAGGUAAAUCCGGGUUUUCAAGGCCGAGACACGAGACGAGCUCCCAAGGGAGUGAAGUUGUUGAUGCCCUGCUUCCAGGAAAAGCUUCUAAACUUAUGAUUAUAUGAACCGUACCCCAAACCGACACAGGUUGUCAGGUAGAGAAUACCAAGGCGCUUGAGAGAACUCGGGUGAAGGAACUAGGCAAAAUGGUACCGUAACUUCGGGAGAAGGUACGCCGCUGACGGUGAUGAGACUUGCUCUCUGAGCUAUCGGCGGUCGCAGUGAAAAGGCCCCUGCAACUGUUUAUUAAAAACACAGCACUCUGCAAACUCGUAAGAGGACGUAUAGGGUGUGACACCUGCCCGGUGCCGGAAGGUUAAGAGGAGAGGUGCAAGCCUUGAAUUGAAGCCCCGGUAAACGGCGGCCGUAACUAUAACGGUCCUAAGGUAGCGAAGUUCCUUGUCGGGUAAGUUCCGACGCGCAUGAAUGGCGUAACGACUGGAGCACUGUCUCCACUUCCGACUCGGUGAAAUAGUAGUGGCGGUGAAGAUGCCGCCUACCCGCGAC